UCCCCAUUUACCAACCCAAGCAAGUAAGCCCACCUGAGCCACAGAACCUUCUCCCCAGACAGCUUUUAUCGUCUCUAACACUAAUUCAGUUUUGAAUAAAUUGAAGAGCAAGGAAGAGUCAAAGGAAAAAAUGCUGGGUCAGUGAUUACCCUUGAAAAUACUUUGCAAUUACAAAAACAAACAUUUAAUGAACUAAUCCAGUUAGUCACCAACAGAAUACUUAAGUACGCCUCUUGAUUCCUUUAUUGGAAGAACUAUGACCCAUCCGAAUCAUUCUUCAAAGCCAGUCUGUCUGUGAAGAAUAAAACAAUGAUUGCUAAUAAA
rnacentral:lncRNA from 1 species